UCCAGUGUUGAGAUGCUGGACGGUUUCGGAAGAGGCCAAAGAAGACCCUUAUUCAUCAAGACCACAUGUGAGGACCGAACACCAUAUUCCUCAUGUGGGCACUUCCACUGCUUGCUAAAACUGCCAUGUGGAUGUCUUCGUGCCUAUUGGAGGAACCAAAAUAAGGACUUCGGGUGACCGAGUACAAACAAAUGCCCUGGCAUUUAGAAACGAAGAACAAGAAGCCGAAGGGAAAAUGUCUCAUGCCUAUUAACAGUAUGAUGUGAGUGUGAAUUUACUGGAGCACAAGUUAAAACCUGGGAUCUGUGUUGUAACUGUGGGAACUGACAGACUUGCUAAAACUUGUGUUGACUGAAACACAACUCUUCCUUUCUAAGCAUAUUCAGCAGUCCUGGAUAUUCUGAUGUAUCUACUUUCAAGCUUCUUGCAAAGAUAUUCCCCACGUCUGAAUAAUGGAGCUUCCCAUGCAACUGAAGAGCCUGAGGCAGGAGGACACAAGUAGUGAUACAUGGCGGCACAUGAGUCUGUGGGCUUUCAGCUUCAGCAUCUUAAAAAACAUGGGGAAAUAUUUCAAAGAAAUUUUGUUGCCUUCUGGAAGAGGCCCACUUCUAAUUGUUCUCAAGGUAUUAACAUGUUUCCCAUCAGUUUUCUAAUAGAACAAUUACUGAGCACACUCCAUAUUCCAUCCAGGCUUUUGGAUGGACUCCAGGAAUACAGAUAUGAAGGGUAUGAAUGAAACAAGAGUCCCUGA